GACGAACGCUGGCGGCGUGCUUAACACAUGCAAGUCGAGCGGAAAGGCCCUGCUUUUGUGGGGUGCUCGAGUGGCGAACGGGUGAGUAACACGUGAGUAACCUGCCCUUGACUUUGGGAUAACUUCAGGAAACUGGGGCUAAUACCGGAUAGGAGCUCCUGCUGCAUGGUGGGGGUUGGAAAGUUUCGGCGGUUGGGGAUGGACUCGCGGCUUAUCAGCUUGUUGGUGGGGUAGUGGCUUACCAAGGCUUUGACGGGUAGCCGGCCUGAGAGGGUGACCGGCCACAUUGGGACUGAGAGACGGACCAGACUCCUACGGGAGGCAGCAGUGGGGAAUAUUGCACAAUGGGCGGAAGCCUGAUGCAGCAACGCCGCGUGCGGGAUGACGGCCUUCGGGUUGUAAACCGCUUUCGCCUGUGACGAAGCGUGAGUGACGGUAAUGGGUAAAGAAGCACCGGCUAACUACGUG
rnacentral:rRNA from 1 species